UGCCAGACACAAAGGUGAACGACUAAGGUGUGAGGAGGGCACAGAGUUUUAUCUGCUCACUAAACCCAGAAGGCCAAUGAAUGCAAUAGAGAAAGAUCCCAGACAAUGCUGGUUCAUUUGCUUGAACAGCUUUUUUACUUCCUUGAUGUGUUCCUAGCCUGCAUCGUACCUGCUCUCUGCUUGUUUUGCUCUCCUCGCUGAGCAAGCCAGCUCCUUUUAAUCUCUCCUCAUCUGUUAGUCUCCGCCAUCUACUAACCCUCCUUGCAUCAGGCCCAGUUUGAUUUAACUAUUUCUAGGAUCCUGGCUGGUGGCAAUGGGGGCAACAGGAACGGAGAGCAAAGGAGGCCGCCAGGAGACUGCUUCUGCUGUGCUCCCAGCGCCUUGCGCGGUGGUGCUUAGCCAGCAAGAGGAAGAAGCCGUGUGAUCCGAACGGAGAGAGAACAAACACAGGAACCGGCACGCUGCAGGAAAGGGCUGGAGAAAUACGCUGGGAUUGACAGAUUAAGGGACAAACCCUGAGACUGGCUGGAUCUGGAAGCUAGGUCAGGGAGCUGGAGCGGAAAAGCUGAAGUGUUCAGGAGGGCGACAGGCUGGACAAAGACUGGGGGGAGGAAACGGCCCUGCGGGGUAACGCUGGCACUGGCGACCCUCCUCGCUGGAGAGAGCCGAGCAGGGGAGGGCUACAGGCCUCACACGCAGGCAUGAAACUGCUUCUCGCCUCAGCAAAGCGUCUUGAACACGGCCCUGGUUGUCUGAUGGGUGAGGAAGGCAGGAGGUGUGAGCAGACGGCGCUCAGAGACAAACCGGGGCCAGGGCAGGCGCACGGCGUGUGCAACCAGGGGCCACCAGGAGAAACAGCAGUGAGGCAGGACAGAGCAAAGAGAUGAAGGAGCAGCCGAGCCUGGGCAUGGCUACGCUGAGGAUGCGGCGUGGAGGAGCGGUACAAGGACUGAUAAAGCAAGAGAACGACUGCAGUCAGCAGAGGAGUGAAGAUGAGAUGCGUGACCGAACAGGCAAGAGAAAGGAGCCAGUGGGGGGCAGAGACAGGUCGGGAACUGGCUGCAGGAGACAGGCCUGAAAGAGCCACGCUUGGGAAGAAGGCGCACAAAAAAGCACAUUUCCCUCAGCAGCCUGGCAUGAAACCAAAAUGUCGCCUCGACUCUGCCUUUAGCGAGUGUCUGAGAACGCCCCUAGAAGGAACGCCUCUUGCCCAAGGUUCGCGAUUCCCACGGGGGAAUACAAGUAUCGUCAGUCUCUUAAUUCCAAUAGCAGAAAAUCCUGUGGCAAAACCUGCUGAUGAGCCACCCAACAAAACUUUGUUUCUAAGUUUCUCUUUUUACAGCACUAGGAAAUUAAAUGCAGAAAGUUCCUGCUAAAAUGCUUUCCUUAAGCUUGCACAGUCAAAUGCUAAAAUGUUGCCAAAUGCCAGAUUCAAGUUUCACCAUACAACCUUAAUUCAGCCUCUUCACUAAUAUAUUAUGAUACAAUCAUAAUGAUGUGGUCAUAUACUAUUGCAUCCACUAUAACU